GACGAACGCUGGCGGCGUGCCUAAUACAUGCCAGUAGAACGCUGAAGGAGGAGCUUGCUUCUCUGGAUGAGUUGCGAACGGGUGAGUAACGCGUAGGUAACCUGCCUGGUAGCGGGGGAUAACUAUUGGAAACGAUAGCUAAUACCGCAUAAGAUUGACUAUUGCAUGAUAGUCAGUUAAAAGGUGCAAUUGCAUCACUACCAGAUGGACCUGCGUUGUAUUAGCUAGUUGGUGGGGUAACGGCUCACCAAGGCGACGAUACAUAGCCGACCUGAGAGGGUGAUCGGCCACACUGGGACUGAGACACGGCCCAGACUCCUACGGGAGGCAGCAGUAGGGAAUCUUCGGCAAUGGACGGAAGUCUGACCGAGCAACGCCGCGUGAGUGAAGAAGGUUUUCGGAUCGUAAAGCUCUGUUGUAGGAGAAGAACGAGUGUGAGAGUGGAAAGUUCACACUGUGACGGUAUCUUACCAGAAAGGGACGGCUAACUACGUG
rnacentral:rRNA from 1 species